rnacentral:rRNA from 1 species
UCUUGCGCAAUGGCCGAAAGGCUGAUGCAGCGACGCCGCGUGGGGGAGGAAGGGCUUCGGCUCGUAAACCCCUGUUGCCCGGGGCGAACAUCCCGUUUCGACGGGACUGACGGUACCGGGUGAGGAAGCACCGGCUAACUCCGUGCCAGCAGCCGCGGUAAUACGGAGGGUGCGAGCGUUGUCCGGAAUCACUGGGCGUAAAGGGCGCGUAGGUGGCUUCUCAAGCGCGCGGUGAAAGCCCGGGGCUCAACCCCGGGUCGGCCGUGCGGACUGGGAGGCUCGAGCACUGUAGGGGCGGGUGGAAUUCCGGGUGUAGCGGUGGGAUGCGUAGAGAUCCGGAAGAACACCGGUGGCGAAGGCGGCCCGCUGGGCAGGAAGGUGUCGUAAGACACCGGCUGACACUGAGGCGCGACAGCGUGGGGAGCAAAC